GGAGUGUUGAAGCAGCAAGCCUCCCCAGGAGGAGCGGCAGGACACUCUCCUACAAGGCAGGGUUAAGAAGCCUUGAGGAUAGGAGGAAAGAGGUAGAUGUCAUAUAUCUCAACUUUAUUAAGGCUUUUGAUACUGUCUCAGAUGAGCUUCUCAAAAACAAACAAGAGAAGUAUAGUCUACUAUAAGGUGAACUAUAAGAUAAACCAGAGGGAAAAGGCUUAUUGAGGAUGCAACAUUCUCAAGGGCCCAAAAUUUCCUGAGGCUGUUUUAAGAAAUGGAAAGAGCUACAAAAUACAUAGGAACAUGCUGCUUGAUUACACUUUUAAAAUUUCAUCUGUGUUCUUCAAUGAUUUAUAUUUUUUCAAUAUCUGACCUUUUGGAAAUUAUAGUUUCUAUUGUUUGUGUUCUUGCUCUCCAGUUUCCAGUCCUUUUGAGAUUUUGUUUCAUUAUAUUGAGGUUCUGUCACAGGCAAGGAAUAGAGGAAGGAAGGUCAAUUAAGAACAGUGCCUGAUAAUCACAGAGACAUGGUCUUCAUUUCCUCUGUAGCUAGGUCUGCUCAUAUAUUCAUGUAACAUAGGCUAGCGAGAUCUAUCUGGUGGAAAAAAUGCUGUUAGCAGUACUUUUUUUUUUAUGCUCAUAAUCCCAUGGCUUUUCACGGCUGAGAGUGAUGAAUUACUAUCAACCCAAGACAGCUUUUUGAUGUGUCCUCUUGUACAUGAGAAACUGGGCUGAGACCACCUGAACUCAUUUCUCUUGGGAUUUUGAACAACUAUAAAAAAUGGUUUUGUUUUGGACUCGGUAGGCUUCAGAAAUGAAAAUGCCAGUAUAUCGAGGACAACACAUCAAUCUAAUUUUCUACCUGGGUUCCCAAUCCUAUCCUUGCCCUCAUGAAAUUUCUGAACAAUAUGUGAUACAAUAUCAGCCCUACUCCACUAUUAAGCCAUAUUUUAUCUAGGAAAUGACCAUUUUAUCUUUCUGAAAUUGCUUGGAAUCUAAAAGGUUUUAGGUGCAAAUAAUUUGAGAAAUAUUGGUUUAUUAAUUUUCAAGCUGUUUGGAGAAGCUACUUAAUUACAGGAGAGAUGCUUAAUGAUGAGGAUUACAGUUAAAACAGCUGACAGCACAGAAGACUGGCACUAUGAAACUCUCUUCUGAAGAAGAGCACACUUUUUUAUAAGGUUUCUUUUCCUGUGCUUUCAUUACAUUACAGUUCCCUCAUCUAUAAGGGAGGAGAAAGAUGAAGUUCAUUAAAUAAACUUGGUGCAUCCAUGCUGUGCUCCAUCUCUUGGCCAAGGACUCACCACGAUACGGCUGGAGAGGAAAGUCACUGCAGCAUGCUGGCAUUGGCAGUGGCACUAGCUUCCCCAAAGGAGCAGAGUAAGAAUGAGUCUAUGAUCGUACAUCCUUCUAAACUAAUGAUUAGAGAUGGCUAGCUAUAGGAUGGAGACGUCAAUGUAUACUGUGCACCCAGUGAAAAAAUAUAGUGCUGCUCAUACAAGCAAUGCCGCGAGGAUCCCAGGAAGAAUUCUGGCUGUGUCCUUCAGGAUAAAUCUUGGUGCUUCCUUCUGAAAUAUGUAUCCCCAGCCUUGCUAAUGCAGGGCUAUGCCCUCAAGGCAUAAUCUUGCCCAUAGAGUUUCUUAGGAGUAACUUCUCCUGACACAUCACCUUUCUGGUCAGAGUAUGAGUAGCAGCUCAGUUCAUCAUCAUACCAUGUAGACAUGUGGCCUAUUUAGUUUUUUGUGUAAAAAAAAGAAGUGCUUUGGCACGCUGAUGGCUACCAUGUUUGUUUGUUUUUCCACUUCUUCAAAUUUGUAUAUUUAGUCCAUCAAUCCUUUCCUCUGUUGAGAAGUACUGUAAUUAUUGCUAAUGCUGGAUGCAAAACAGUAUGGAUCUCAUCAUUCAUCCAAUAUGGUCAAUAGCAACAGACCCAUUGACUUCAACAGAUGUAGGAGCAAGCCAUGUAUUCACAUAUAUUAUUACAGAGUUAGGGACUGAUCCUCUGAGAUGGUGCAUGCCCCAUGAGAGCUGUUGAGUAGCAGUGACAUCACUCGGAGUUGAAGAUAUUGAGCAGCUGACAAGAGAAGCUCAGAAACUUUCUGGA